UCAUCAGGUUACAGGAACCAAAGAAAGACCUGAUAGCCCGAGUAGUGAGGAUUAUUGGUAACAAAAAGGCAAUUGAACUUCUGAUGGAAACCGCUGAAGUUGAACAAAAUGGUGGUCUCUUUAUAAUGAAUGGUAGUCGAAGAAGAACACCAGGUGGAGUUUUUCUGAAUCUCUUGAAAAACACUCCUAGUAUCAGCGAGGAACAAAUUAAGGACAUUUUCUACAUUGAAAACCAAAAGGAAUAUGAAAAUAAAAAAGCUGCUAGGAAGAGGAGAACACAAGUGUUGGGGAAAAAGAUGAAACAAGCUAUUAAAAGUCUAAAUUUUCAAGAAGAUGAUGAUACAUCACGAGAAACUUUUGCAAGUGACACAAAUGAGGCCUUGGCCUCUCUUGAUGAGUCACAGGAAGGACAUGCAGAAGCCAAGUUGGAGGCAGAGGAAGCCAUUGAAGUUGAUCAUUCUCAUGAUUUGGACAUCUUUUAAGUACAUUUUCAACAGUUUGAGGACUAAGCCUUUCUAAAAUAACAUUGUAAUAAACCAUUUUUACUGAGAUUGCAACGUUUUGCACUGAUAAACAUGAGUAUCUGGAGGAAAGACAAUUGUUUUCUUGUUUAAAAUAUGUGCGGAAAGGAAUGCAAUUGAUAGAACAUUUAAAGAUAUAUCUGACAAAAUACUUAAGAGUAUAUAGCACAGGAUUUAAUUUCUCAAUCUGUUGCAUGUGCUAAUUAUGAGUAUUACUAGUUGAUAAUCAGUUUUGUCUAGGUCAUAACAUACUAUUUGUAAGUUUGUUUGCUUUUUCAAGUUUAUCUUUGCAGUGAAUUAUGCUUUGGCUUUAAAACAUUCCACUAA
rnacentral:sRNA from 1 species